rnacentral:lncRNA from 1 species
GAUUUUUGUUGGUCCAACACUUAGAAAAAAUAUUUUUCAGUUCACUCGUAGCCACACGAAGUCGUCUGGCUUCUACAAGAAAAUCCACUCGAAAACUAGCACAGAUCAGGAGCUUGGAGGUGCUAGCCUGCAAGCAACUUUGAUGACUGAUCUCUUUCUUUUUCUUCAAACACCUUGGAUACUUCAAAAGAUGAAGGGAUCUAGAGGAGGAAGAGAGGAGGAGGAGAAGAGAUCUGAAAAAAUAAAAAAUCAGCAAGAAAAAUGAUGUUAUGAUGCCAAGAAUAGGGGACCCCUUUUUAUAGGCAAGGAAUUAGGGUUUUCAUCUAAGGGAGGGCGCC